AUGCCUGUAUUCUUUGCAUCUACAGCAACAGAUGAAGUUGCACUGUUUUCGACAACUGAAGCUUCUACAGCUGUGUCCCCCACAAACACUCUUAUAUCCUCAAUAACUGCUCCUAGAACAACUGCUGCUUCAACACCAUCCUCAACCACUGAAGGUUAUACAACCACAGCUGUGACCUCCACAACCACUGUUAUAUUCUUAGAAACUACAACCACGGCAAAUACUGCUCAAACAACAACAUUUUCAACAACAAAUGAAGCUUUAACCACCACAGCAGUGAAUCCCACAACUAUGCCUGUAUUCUCAAUACCUACAUCAAAAGAAAAUUCUGCUCCAACAAUAAUUCCACUGUCUUCGACAGCUGAAGCUUCUACUACCACAGCUGUGAACCCCACAAAAACUCUUAUAUCAUCAGCAACUGCACCUACAACAACAACAAAUGCUGCUACAGCACAAUCUUUGACCACUGAAGGUUAUACAACCACUGCUGUGAACCCCACAACCACUCUUAUUUCUUCAGAAUCUAAAACAACAGCUUCUCCAACAACACCAUUGUCAACAACAAAUAAAGCUACAACCACCACAGCAGUGAAUCCCACAAUAACGCCUGUAUUCUCAGUACCUACAGCAACAGAAAAUGCUGCUCCAACAGAGACACCCUUGUCAACAAUUAAAAGUGAAGCUUAUACAACCACAGCUGUGACCCCCACAACCACAAUCAUAUCUUCACCAACUGCAACUGCACAAUCUUCAACAACUGAAGCUUCAACAAUCGCAGCCAGAAACCCCACAACCAUGCCUGUAUUCUCUCUACAUCCAGUGACAGAAAAUGUUGCUCCAACAACAACUCCACGGCCUUCGACAACUGAAGCUUCUACUACCAAAGCUGUGAACCCCACAACCACUCUUAUAUCCUCAGCAACUGCACCUACAACAACAACAAAUGCUGAAACAGCACAACAUUUGACCACUGAAGGUUAUAAAACCACAACUGAUAGCCCCACAACCACAGAAAAUGCUGCUCCAACAAAGACACCAUCUUCAGCAAUAACAACGGAAGCUUAUACAACCACAGCUGGGAACCCCACCACCAUGCCUGUGUUCUCUGCACCUCCAGCAACAGAAAAUGCUGCUUCAACAACAACUCCAUUGUCUUUGACAACUAACGCUUCUGCUACCCAAGCUGUGAACCCUACAACCACUCAGAUAUCAUCAGAAACCAAAAUAACAGCAAAAGCUGCUCCAACAACACCAUUGUCAACAACAAAUGAAACUUUAACAACCAAAGCAAUAAACCCCACAACCAUGCCUGUGUUCCCAGAACCUACAACUGCACCUCCAGCAACAGAAAAUGUGGCUCUAGCAACAACAGCACGGUCUUCAACAAGGGAAGCUUCUACAACCACAGCUGUGAAUCCUACAACCAUGUCUGUAUUUCCAGAACCUACAACAAAUACUGCACCACCAACAACAGCAGUAACUUCAACAACUGACGCUUCUACAAUUACAGACCUGUACCCCACAUCCACACCUUUCUCCUCAGCAAAUACAAGUCCACCGAUAAGAACAAUAAGUGCUGCUCCAACACCCUCCUCAGUCACUAAAGCUUAUACAACCACAGAUGUGGCACCCACUUCCUUGCAUGUUUUCUCAGGACCUACAAUUGCACCUCCAGCAACAGAAAAUGGUGUCCUUACCUCAACACUUCCUUCAAUAUCUUCAACUUCUCUUGUAUCACCAAGCACAACAACCGUAUCUCCAACCACAAUACCACUUUUCACAAAAAACAUAACUGCUGCAGAAACAACAUUUGUUACACCCACAACCAUACCAAUGUUGUCAGAAUUUACAAAAUCAUUUCUAACAACCACAUCUUUGCUAAAUGCAACAACAAAUGCAGUGACUCUGACUAGUCUUUCAGAAACACAAAAUCCAGCUCCAACUGCAUUUGUAUCUCAAAGCACAAAAACUGUGUCUUUAGCAACCACUGCACCAACCAUAAUAAUUGCAACUCAAGAAACCACUAUCCCAUUGUCAAUGUCAGCUACUGGUAUUUCGGCAAUUACAAGUGUGACUCCAAUGAGUACGUCUGGAGCUACAACAAGUGUUCCUAUAAACUCAGCUGCUACAAUUGCAUCAAUUCAAACAACAGCAGUGGUGGCAAGCAAACUGCUAUUCAACUCCUCAUUUCCAGUACUCAGUGAAUCUCAGGUCCUCAGUGUUAUCACUAAUCUCCUGAAAUCCAGAGAGUCACAGCUCAGAGAAUCAUUGAAGGUUGUGAAUUUUACCUAUGAAAAAAUCUCAGAAACCUCAUAUGCUGUGGUCUUCACAUUUAACCUGGUUAACAUCAGCAUGUCAGAAGACCCUGAUCUCAGAGGCAACACCUACCAGCAAGUGAAGGAUAUCAUCAAUAAUGCGGUAAACAUUAAAAAUGAAAAGUAUAAAUAG
rnacentral:lncRNA from 1 species